rnacentral:hammerhead_ribozyme from 1 species
AUCCAGCUGACGAGUCCCAAAUAGGACGGAAAUGCGGAUCCUGGAU